rnacentral:rRNA from 1 species
AGUGAACGCUGGCGGUAGGCCUAACACAUGCAAGUCGAACGGCAGCACAGUAAGAGCUUGCUCUUACGGGUGGCGAGUGGCGGACGGGUGAGGAAUACAUCGGAAUCUACUUUUUCGUGGGGGAUAACGUAGGGAAACUUACGCUAAUACCGCAUACGACCUACGGGUGAAAGCAGGGGAUCUUCGGACCUUGUGCGAUUGAAUGAGCCGAUGUCGGAUUAGCUAGUUGGCGGGGUAAAGGCCACCAAGGCGACGAUCCGUAGCUGGUCUGAGAGGAUGAUCAGCCACACUGGAACUGAGACACGGUCCAGACUCCUACGGGAGGCAGCAGUGGGGAAUAUUGGACAAUGGGCGCAAGCCUGAUCCAGCCAUACCGCGUGGGUGAAGAAGGCCUUCGGGUUGUAAAGCCCUUUUGUUGGGAAAGAAAAGCAGCAGGUUAAUACCCCGCUGUUCUGACGGUACCCAAAGAAUAAGCACCGGCUAACUUCGUG